rnacentral:lncRNA from 1 species
CCCAGUUUCCACUAAGAGAACACAUCAACACUAAUCUGGGUACCUUUGAUAACCAGAGGCCAAGUAUUUAUCUGUUCUCCAAGGAAUACUUAAUUAUUUUGUGUCAUGGGCCCUCUUUGGUGCGGCCUAUGGACCCCUUCUUCGAAUAAUGUUUUUAGAUGCAUAAAAUAUAUGGUAUUAGGGAAAGGUACCAAUUCUACUAGUAGUUAUCUGAGUUUUUUUGUUUCUUUUUUUUGAAACAAGUUCAAUUACAACAAGAACCCCUUGUCUGCACAGCCCUGGUCCUUCCUCAGCUGUGCAGUGCUUUAAAGCAUAAAGUCCUGGUCUAGAGCAAAUGAACCCAUCCAGACCUCUAGAAGGGAUAAGCCAGUCUAAUGUGGUAGUCUCUUAGCAGAGGCGCGAAGCUUGACACUCCGCGCAUGCUUGUUGCAGACCAAAUGGAAGCAGGUGCGACAGAGAUCUUAAAAAGGGGUAGGGGUGGAGUGGAAGAUAAAGAGAAACAAGCCAAGUCUUGCGCACGCCUGCGCAUACCGGUUCUUCUCCCCCGCCCCCCCCCCGUGGAGGGACACGGCGCCUGACGCAUGACGUACGGCUGUUGUGCGCGCCCUUACGCAUGAGAAGUGUUAAGUUCUCCCUUUUGGAGUAGGUUGGGAACGGGGGCGGGGAGGUUGGGGGAGACGAGUUUUGUUUUUUUAAGUGGGACGUGUAGGGGGAAAAGGAAGAAAAGCGGGGCGAAAAGGAAUGUCCUACGGUGGCCGCGGAGGAACGACUACUACGGUUCCCGCACUGGGACAAACGCUUCCCACGGACGGCCUAAGGCUCCCCUUCCCCAGCUGGGCCGACCCUGGUUGGGGCCCAUGAUGGGCAUGCACGGGAGGGGGCCCCCGGCGGCCUCUCCCCGGCCCUGGGGCUGACCCUGUCGGUGACCUUCCGACCUUCCUCCGAGGGCCCGACACCAUGCGGCCUCCUCCCCCCUCGUUCUGCCGCUCCGGCCUCGAGGGACAACAGGGGCCCCAGCUUCGCCGGCCCCCGGUCCUGGCCUCCACCCCGCCGGCCCCCGGCCACAGGCCUCGGGACUGCCACCCCACCGCGGAGGAGGCCGCGCACGGCAUGUGCCUCCCUGGAAGUUCAACAGAGAGUUCACAGGCCUAGGCUCUUCACUUCUGUUCCUUGCCCAUGGAUGAUGCUUAUUAUGCACACAGUCUGUCCUCCUCUAGAACUC